rnacentral:rRNA from 1 species
ACGGCUGAGUAACGCGUGGGAACGUGCCCCAAAGUGAGGAAUAACUGCCCGAAAGGGUAGCUAAUACCGCAUAUUAUCUUCGGAUCAAAGGAUUUAUCCGCUUUGGGAGCGGCCCGCGUCGGAUUAGGUAGUUGGUGAGGUAAUGGCUCACCGAGCCGACGAUCCGUAGCUGGUCUGAGAGGAUGACCAGCCAGACUGGAACUGAGACACGGUCCAGACUCCUACGGGAGGCAACAGUGAGGAAUCUUCCACAAUGGGCGAAAGCCUGAUGGAGCAACGCCGCGUGCAGGACGAAGGCCUUCGGGUUGUAAACUGCUUUUAUAAGUGAGGAAUAUGACGGUAACUUAUGAAUAAGGAUCGGCUAACUACGUGCCAGCAGCCGCGGUCAUACGUAGGAUCCGAGCGUUAUCCGGAGUGACUGGGCGUAAAGAGUUGCGUAGGCGGUUGUAUAAGUGAAUAGUGAAAUCUGGUGGCUCAACCAUACGGGCUAUUGUUCAAACUGUACAACUCGAGAGUGGUAGAGGUCACUGGAAUUUCUUGUGUAGGAGUGAAAUCCGUAGAUAUAAGAAGGAACACCGAUGGCGUAGGCAGGUGACUGGACCAUUUCUGACGCUAAGGCACGAAAGCGUGGGGAGCGAACCGGAUUAGAUACCCGGGUAGUCCACGCCGUAAAC